AAAAGUCUUCCUCCUCCUGUAUCUCUUGUACUCGAAUUUGAGGAAGUUAUACUAGACGGAUAUGUCAAGUGGUAUUCAGAGCUUAGAUCGGUCCGAUUCGCGCUCCGCAAUCUCGAGAUUUCUCUGUAACAUCGACCGAUUGGUUGUUGAUUGCUUUUGGGCGAUCGACUAGAAAUCCGAAAUCGGCGUGAGAGGAAUUCAGAGGGAGCGGCGACGGCGCCGUUCAAGCUGAACGCUCAGACGAGGCAUUUGGUGGACGCGAUGAGCUCGUUUGAGGAGAACUUGAUGCAGGAGUGGAGGGGAUUGCCGAAAUCCAGACUCGGCUGGAUGGAUUGGAUAGCAAGUUUGAGGAACAGAUGGCCCGGCUAGAUCAAGUCCACUCCAAGGUAAAUCUCUUCGUGAGUUCUCCGGGGGAGAUCCACCAGGAUCAGGUUCAUGUGGCACGGGUGCUCAAGGAGUCAUCCAGCGCGAGGGAUGCGAAUAUCGGCAGUAUGGCGGCGCCGCCGCGCCGGGGUGUUUCGCCUUUUUGCUGCCCGGCAGCAGCAGCGCAUGCCAGUGGGUCGACUUCGAAGGAACAACACCGCCCUCCUCCUCCAGUGGAUCCUGGCAAGGUACCUCCAACACCACAGUAUUCCUCUUCGUUUGACGAGCAUGGGUCGAAGCGGCCGUGGAUGCCUAAGAUAGAAUUUCCGAGGCUUGAUGGAGUGCGUAUUUGGCUUGACAAUUGUGAGGCCUAUUUCCAACUGUAUCAAAUUCCUGACAAUUUCAUGGUCAUGUCCGCAUCUCUGCACCUAUACGGCAAUGCAGCACACUGGUAUCAGGCGUAUAAACUGUAUGAUUACUGCUCUUCAUGGAGUCAGUUUGCCUCAGCUAUUCUGCUGGAGUUUGACCGGAACAUGCAUCGAAACUGUAUGCGCGAAUUGCUAGUAACUGAAACAGGUUGGUUCAGUUCAGGAAUGUCGCAACAACCUCAACCAAUUGGUGUACCAAGUGCGACUGUAUGAAGGGGCUGUUAGUGAAACCCUGUUGGUAACUCAAUUUGUCUUAGGAUUGAAGGAAGAAAUUCGUUCUGCAGUGGAAAUCUAGUUACCUCUGUUAGUAAACACGGUAGCUGAAUAUGCUUUAGUAUAGGAGGCGGUGUUGGAGAGGAACAAAAGUCAGCAAGGGCGUUUUCAUAGAAAUGGAGGAUACAGAACUCAGCAAACACGAGAGCCAAUGCAGAGAACACAAUUUGCAGCUGGAGAGAUUUGGAAAGCCAAACAACUCAAGGAUUACCGUAGGGCCAACAUUUGUGCUAUAGUUGUGCAGAUAAAUAUGCUCCUGGACACUUAUGCAAGAAAAACGAAAUGCAAGUCAAGGCUGCUCAAAUCAUAUCAGAAGAGCAAGUGUAUUUGGAAGAUGCUAUGUUGGAUGCCUUGGCAGUGGAGAAAACUGCAGCUGAGGCUGCUGCCUUUCUGUCGGUUAAUGCUCUGUUAGGUUCCCAAAAUCCUAAGACAAUCAGAUUAAGAGCUAUGGUGGACAAUAAGGUCAUGCUUCUGUUAGUGGACUCUGGAAGUUCACAUACUUUUAUUGAUCAGCAACUGGCGUACAUGCUACAGUGUCCUACCUCUCCACUUCAUGUUUCUCUGAGAGUGAAAGUAGCUAAUGGGGAGUUCAUGCAGUGUGAGCAAGAAGUUCAUGGGUUUAAAUGGUGGAUUCAGGGUCACACCUUCAUUACUGACAUGAAGUUUGUGCCAUUGGGAGGCUAUGAUGCCAUCUUGGGCAUGGAUUGGCUGGAGAAAUGGGGUCCUAUGACUUGUCACUGGAGGAAAAGUGGAUUCAGUUCCAACACAAUGAACAACUCAUUACUUUACAAGGCUUGCAUGAUAAACCUGUGACACAAAUUAAAGAGCUCACUGCAGAACAGUUAGAGAAGUGUCUUAAAGGUAAUGAUGUUUGGGCUACAGCAGUGUUAGCCCCUGAAGCAGAUCUCUCUGUCCAAACUACACCUGAAAGUGUACAAGAACUUCUGACUGAAUACAGUGAUGUGUUUCAGAAACCACAGCAGUUGGCACCACAUAGAGCAUUUGAUCAUGCCGUUUCCCCUGUUACCUGACAGUGUUCCUGUAAACUCAAGACCAUAUAGAUAUUCUCCUUUGCAAAAGGAUAAGAUUGAGAAGCAGGUGGAUGAAAUGAUUGAAGCUGGACUAGUGCAACCCAGUAUGUCUCCUUUUGCUUCUCCUGUGCUGCUGGUCAAGAAAAAUGAUGGAACAUGGAGGUUUUGUGUGGAUUAUAGAACGUUGAAUGUUUUGACAAUAAAAAGCAAAUUUCCUAUGCCUGUGGUAGAUGAGCUAUUGGAUGAGGCAGGUGCCAAAUGGUUUUCCAAACUGGAUCUUAGAGCAGGGUACCAUCAGAUUAGGAUGGUGGAAGAGGAUGAAGCUAAAACAGCAUUUAAGACUCAUCAUGGUCAAUUCCAGUUCAGAGUUAUGCCAUUUGGUCUCACAAAUGCACCAGCACAUUUCUAGUGCCUUAUGAAUGCAAUAUUUGCCAGGUUUACAAGAAGAUUUGUGUUAGUAUUCAUGAAUGAUAUCCUAGUUUUUAGUGAAGAUUUGGACUCCCACUUAGAGCACAAGUUAUUUCCCAAGGAAAGCAAAUGUUUCUUUGCUCAGCAACAACUUGAGUACCUGGGCCACAUUAUUUCUGACAAAGGUGUAGCAACUGAUCCAGAGAAAACUAAGGCUAUGUUACAGUGGCCCACUCCUACUACUGUGACAGUUACGAGGGUUUCUAGGGCUCACGGGGUACUAUAGGAAAUUUGUCCAAAAUUAUGGGAUUCUGGCAAAGCCCCUAACUGUACUUUUGCAGAAGAAAGUUUUCACCUGGUCUUCAGAGGCACGAGUGGAAAUUUACAAGCUCAAGCAAGCAAUGAGCACCACCCCUGUCCUGGCUUUACCUAAUUUUUCACAGCACUUCUGCAUUGAAACGGAUGCCUGUGACACUGGCAUUGGUGAUGUACUCAGUCAACAAGGACACCCAGUGGCUUACUACAGUAAGGCCUUGGGCACGAACAACAGCAAAUUGUCCAUCUACGAGGAGUUCUGAGCUGUGAUGAUGGCUGUGGACAGGUGGAGACCGUAUCUGUCCAGGGGAUCAUUCACAAUCAAGACUGAUCACCAGAGUUUGUGUAGUUUGGAGGACCAAGUCCUGACUUCAGACUUGCAAAGAAAAGCUAUGGCCAAGUUAGUAGGCUUGCAGUUUAAAUUCCAGUUCAGAAAAGGAGUUGACAAUAAGGUGGCCGAUGCCCUUUCUAGAGUGGGACAUGCUUUUGCCUUGAAAGGGGUUUCCAGUUCUCAUCCUGUGUGGAUUCAGAAGGUCAUCAAUUCCUAUGUAAUAGAUUCUGAAGCACAGGAAUUACUACAAAAGCUGGCUGUUACACCUGAAGCAGACCCAGAUUUUACUCUUCAAAAAGGUCUACUUAGACACCAGGGAAGAAUUUGGAUUGGUGCUAAUUCUGCAUUGCAAACUAAAAUCAUAGAAGCAUUUCAUGCUAGUCCCAUAGGAGGCCACUCAGGAAUGCAAGCUACUUAUCAGAGGAUAAAGAAUUUGUUUCACUGGUCAGGCCUCAAACAAGCUGUCAUGAAAUUUGUCCAGCGGUGUCAGGUUUGCCAACAAGCUAAGUGUGAACAGUGCAAGUAUCCAGGACUUCCUAAUCCACUGCCUGUUCCCCAAGGAGCUUGGGAGGAUGUGACCAUGGAUUUUGUGGAAGGUCUGCCUAAAUCAUGUGGCUACUCUGUGAUAAUGGUGGUAGUGGGCAGAUUUACAAAAUAUAGUCAUUUUUGUUCCCUUGAAACACCCUUACACUGCUGCUUCUGUUGCCCAACUGUUCUUGCAGAAUAUUGUCAGGUUGCACAGCAUGCCCUACACUAUAACAUCUGACGGGGAUCCAGUGUUCACAAGUAAAUUUUGGAAAGAAUUAUGGUCUUUGUGGCGCUCUAAACUUCCAAUGUCAACUGCCAGGCACCCUCAGACUGAUGGUCAAUCAGAAAAGCAAUGUCUCGAGAUGUAUCUCCGGUGCUCUGUCAAUGCUACACCAACUAAGUGGGCCAUCUGGUUACCAUUGGCUGAAUUUUGGUAUAAUACCUCCCAUCAUUCAUCACUGAGUUGUUCUCCUUUUAAGGCAUUAUAUGGACAUGAGCCACAUAUUGGAGAACUGCCUCGCCCUCUGACAACUGACAAGGUCGAUGUGGAUCAGUCGAUCCAAGAACGUCAACGUUACUCUGAACAUCUGAAAGUGCAGCUACAUAGAGCUCAAGCAAAAAUGAAGUCUGAAGCAGACAAACAUCGCUCUUCCAGAGAAUUUCAGAUAGAAGAGGAGGUCUUCCUCAAGCUCCAACCAUAUGCACAAUCAUUAGUGGUAAAUAGACCUUUUCCUAAAUUGGCAUUCAAGUACUUUGGGCCUUAUAAGAUACUGGAGAAGAUUGGUCCAGUAGAGUAUAAACUAGCGCUCCCUGAAGGCAGUCAGGUACAUCCGGUGUUUCAUGUUUCUCAGCUGAAACAACAUGUACCUGACCACACUCCAGUUUUUACUACUUUACCGGCACUUCUGUUGAUGGAAGUUGAGGAUCUGCAGCCUGCCCUGAUCCUUGAUCGCCGGCUAGUGAAGAAAGGUAAUCAAGCACUGUUAAAUUAUCAGCCUCAGAUGCUACAUGGGAAGAUUACACGACAGUUUGACAGACGUUUCCAAAUGCACCAGCUUGGGAACAAGUUGGUUCUGGAGAGGCGGAACCUGUAAGUACCGUGACCCCGACAAGUACUGAACCAGGAACAGGUGUUCUGAAGAUGAUAGAGUCCUGCACCAAAGAGAGUGUGUGAGCUGGUUUUUAGUCUUUGGGCCAGCGGGUCGUGGGCCGUGUAAGGGAAGAGUUUGGAUGAGCUGUAUGAGCAGACAUAUAAGCUCGGUCGUUCCGUAGGUGAGGCAACGAGUUGUUGAACUAGCUCACGUUUCCUUCCUCCUCUCUGUAUCUUCUUCUUUCCCAAGUCUUCCUCCUGCUGUACCUCUUGUACUCGAAUCUGAGAAAGUUAUACUAGGUCGGAUAUGUCAAUCAGCCUGGUUGUUCUGUUUGUCGAAGGAUUAGCUUGGUUUUGCCACACUACUGUUUUAGAAUGCUAGCUGGAAAUUUGCCUCUGUUCUGAGUAGAUAAUGACUGCGUUCAAUGCACUUUGCUUUCCAAAACAAAGUAAUAGAUGUGAAUAUUGGUUAAACGAAUGAGCAACAAACCAGCAAUGACCCUGAAGAGAUUUCGAUUUAUUUGAUUGGGACACAUAUUUAUCAACAAUUUUUAGCUGGUGGAGAAUUUACUAUGCUUCAAUUGGAAAAGAAGAUCUGAUGUGCAGUUAUAGUGAUGGAGAAAUUCAGGAACCUGAGGAAAUGAAGCAUGUUUUCACAAAAUGAGAAGACAUGCUAAUAUGGGUUUGCUGUAUCCAAAGGGAUGGCACCUAAUACAAGGUAUUAGGCACUUUAUGGCUUCUAUAGACGGCGUUUCACUGGUAAAAUGAUAUUACCUUUUUUUUCAAAUAACUUCUAAAGGUUUGGCAUGUCCUGCAAAAAUAUCUAGCGGUCGAUCUUUUGUAAACUUUAAAUGCUACAUUAGAUAUGUUUUAUUGCGGCUCAGUAGAUCUGCUGCCAGAAAGUGCACAGAUCAUGGAAUUAACAUGCUAAGAUUCGCGUCACCAUUAGAAAGUAAUACCCGUUAGGUUUAUUGUGAGAUCAGAAGAUCUUGGUCUUUAAAAAAAAAAACUCACCGAAGUUCUGAAUGUUCCAAUAUAGGGGCAUACUGACAUGCCCCUUAUUGCUACGAUAGUAUUUGUACUUGUGUAGGUAGUAUUGUGGCUAGCUUUUUGUUUCUCCUCCAUUUCCUGGUAUUUGCCAGUUUUCUGAUAUGAACUGUAAUAGUUGAUAAUCCAGUUUAAUAACCAAGCAAGAGAUGUGAUGUGCCAGUGUUAAAUUCAUGGUCUGCAGAUGCUGUUGAGGAGAUGCAGUUGCAGAGUCAGCAAAACGACCUCAUGCGAAUGAUUAUCCGAACUCUGUUUACCUCUCCUGUUUUUGUUUAUAUUCCUGGAAGACUGUAUGCUGGCGUAGAUGUUUAGUUUAUGUUGGUUUGAAACCUUUCGGAACCUGGUUUUAGACCAGAAGCUCUGUAUGACUUGUUGGUUUCAUUUCUAUGAAAUGGAGCCGGGGGAGCUCCUCCCCCUUGAUCGAAAAAAAAGAUUAUCCGAACUCUGGCUGCAAAUAUGAUUGAAAUGAUUUGGAGUUAAUUUAGCGUUUAUGGGAAUGUCAUUAGUACUUUCAGUCAGGUAUGGCAAAGCUGGGGCACUGAUUUGGUUUCACUGAAAUUUGUUCAUAAUUAUAUUAGGUUGUUUGUUAUAUAUUCCAGAUGAAUCUUUAGCUAGAUUCUGGUGGAUGGAAGAACGGGAGAGACGAGGAAGUUAACAAUAUGCUCUUUGUUGCAGUUAUGGUUUGGCUGGAAGGAACAAAGCUAAUCCAGGUGAGAAGACAAGAAUGGUGGUCAAGAUAAAUUUUUCCUAUCAGCGUACAUGAAGACCUUAACCUGAAAGUAAAAAAAAAAGCUCGAAAGGCAAAGCGGGAACCCAGAUGGAGGGCACCGAUGCAGGAGUCGAUACUGAUGGGCUUUUUGUUAAGCUGAAUUGAGCUGGGUCAAGUGCUUGUGACAGGGCAAGGACACCUCGAGGAGCUCUCGAGUGGCCUACAUGCUGAAACGCUGGGCACUACUUCAAGAUGUACGAAUUACUUGAACCAUCAGAUGCAGUAACGUGGAGCUGCAAAUGCAUGCCUCAAACCUGAAUCUGGCAAUGACCUCUCGCAACUACGACCUCUCUCCACUGGGUGUAAUCUUCAAAGAAAAUUAAAGCCUUGUUGUGUAUUGCUUAUUAUAGUUGUGCCUAAGAUCCUGUAACUCUGUAGUGCAUUUAGUAGUUCCAUUGUAGUUUCUAUCAAGGUGAACGUGUACACCAUGUUGUAAUCUGACAUAAACACAGAACAGUUAAAAUUUCCUAAGAGACAUAUCAUACUACUCCAUACACCA